rnacentral:rRNA from 1 species
CACGUAGGGCGCAAGCGUUGUCCGGAAUUAUUGGGCGUAAAGAGCUCGUAGGCGGUCUGUUGCGUCCGCUGUGAAAACUCGGGGCUUAACCCCGAGCCUGCAGUGGAUACGGGCAGACUAGAGGUAGGUAGGGGAGAAUGGAAUUCCCGGUGUAGCGGUGAAAUGCGCAGAUAUCGGGAGGAACACCGGUGGCGAAGGCGGGUUCUCUGGCCUUACCUGACGCUGAG